CGGUGGCGGAGGGAGUGGAGGUCGCCGCCGGGGCAGAACUCCAUGACGACGCAUGAGAAGCGCGUGGCGGCGUUGAAGUCGGCAAAGAGCGUGGGGAGGAACGGGUGGUCGAGCAGCCGCAUGAUGCGCUUCUCGGCGGCCGCACGCUCCAACUUGUGCUUCUUGGCCACGGCGCGCCGGUCCACCACCUUCAUCGUGUACAUGCACGACGGGACCUCCGACGGUGCCGAGGCGGCAGAGGUAGACGGUGCCGAUGUCGCCGCCACCGACGCGCCGGACGAGUGA
rnacentral:rRNA from 1 species